UAAGUAGGUGGCGAGCGUUACCCGGAAUUACUGGGUGUAAAACGUGGGUAGGUGGGUUAGUAAGUUCAUUGUGAAAUCCUGCGGCUUAACCGCAGGGCCGCAAUGAAAACUGCUAACCUAGGGUAAAGUCGAGGUGAACGGAAUUCCCGGUGUACCGGUGAAAUGGGUAGAUAUCGGGAGGAACACCAUUGGCGAAAGCGGUUCACCAGACUUUUACCGACACUGAGCUACGAAAGCGUGGGGAGCAAACGGG
rnacentral:rRNA from 1 species